UAGGAAUGUUACACUCUAUCCAAAACGCUUAGGAACAUAAUGAAUUAACCUUCAUCGUGCAAAACUUCUUUAUACUUUUUGGAGUAGAAGUAUGGUAGAUUCCUCCAUUAAAAGGGCAUACUUCAUGGAAUUAAUGGAUACAACCUCUUGGGUCCGACAGUUCCAAGAGAAAGGGCUGUUAUGCAAAUAUUUUGGGGUUGUUUAUAUUUGUUGAAUUUCUGAUACAAAUUUAAAAAAAAAAAAAAAAAAAAAAAAAAAAAAAUUACAAUUUGGAAGAUACUCUUAAAACUGGUUUAAAAUAAAAAAAAAAAAUAAUAAUAAUAAUAAAAAAAUAAAAAAAAAAAUAAAUAAAUAAAUAAAUAAAUAAAAUAAACACUCGCAUAGAUAUAAAGUUAAAUAAUUCAAGGUUGUAAUAAGUAGAAUGAUAUCUGACCGUGUGUCCUCCUCAUGAACACUCUCCGCAUGAUUCUUCUUCAAUCUUCAUAAUUCUCUCAAUUUAUUAUACCUGUUUUGUGGAACUAAAGUAUGUACAGUAAUUUAAUUGUACCUUGAUCUCAAAUGGAGGGAACUACAAUAUAGGUCCGAAGAUCAAAUAUUAGUCAAUGUUAAUUAUUGUUUUGUUCCACUUAAAAAUAAAUAAAUAAAGAAAUAAAUGAAUAAAAAAUAAAUAAAUAAUUAUAAAUGAAUAAAAAUAAUAAUAAUAAUAAUAAUAUAGCAUUUAAUUACUAUGUUUGUUCUAGAAUGUAGUUUAAUUGCGAGUCGGUGUUUAACUGCAGUUCUGUUCUAUUCAUGAUAAAUACUUAGAUACUGUGAUGUGGUUUAAAUACAGGUCAGUGAUUUAACUGCUGUUUUGUUCUACUCGUGAAAAUUAGUAAGAUAUUAGGAUGUAAUUUAAAUGCAAGUCAGCGAUUUAACUGCUGUUUUGUUAUACUCACGAUAAAUAUUUUGAUACUCACUAAGUAUGUAGUGUAAAUACAGGUCAGUGAUUUCACUGCUGUUUUGUUCUACUCUUACAAUUAAAAAUACCGUAAGGAACAUGUUAAUUCCCACAUUGACAGGUCAGUGAAUACCUGCUGUUGGAUAUCUAAAUACUCCUCGUCUGACUUUGCUUACUUGCUGGCUCAAUAAACAAUAUUUUUCGAUAUGUCAUUUUCUCUGAAAUUAGUUUUCUUCCAUACUUACAUGUAUUACUCAAUAUUGUUAUUUAUUAACAUUGCUCGGAGAUUAUAUUAAUACCGGUAUUUCCUCCAUUAUUUGACAUGUAACUACAUUUUAGUGAUAACUGGUAAUGGAAUAAUUAAUGAAAGGUAGAAUUUUGUUUUUCAUUUCAUUACUUUAAGAUGUUUGGAGAGGCCAGUGAUUAACUGCCUUCAUAUAGAUUUGAUUUGUGCAAGCUCACCUUGGAUGGCACGGAUGUGAUUUGCAUGUCACAUCUUACAUGGAUGUGACCUGCAUAUCACAUCUUGUGGCCUAUUUUAUUUUGAUGUGCCAUCUAUUUGCUAACUUUUUAAUAUGAUGUUUUGAUUGUCUUGUCUUACAGAUACUUUUUUAUAGUCAGUUUUGGGGGAUCAGACAUUAUCAUAUUUUACGUAACUGAUAAGCAAAGCUUGUGAAUCUGAUCCCCCUUCUUGUUUGUUAAAUUGUUCACAUUUAUACCGUCAUUUUAAUAAAUGACAUUUUUCAUCAACAUCAAAGUGUUUUAUUUGACUUUACAAAAUUAGCAAAAACAAGCUGCGGUGAUCUUGCCUAUAAGCAUUAGAAGACAUAAAACAGCAAUUAUUAGAAUAAUAAUUGUAUUUAUGUAUUUAAUGCGAUAAUUCGUUUGGAGGUUUUCGGAAACAUUUACGUUAGUAAAUUGUGAAAAUUCUCAGAUCCACGCCUUGCCUAAUUGUAAUGGAAUGUGUAAGGUCACGUGGUCAGCUCAGCGAGUCAUUCACACUCGCGCGCUCACCACCGCUAACAUGAAGCACGUCUAUUUUGAAGACCCACCUCCACCCCAACAUUCCUAUCCCUUAAUAUGAUCAUUAAUGUGUCAUGUAAAAUUUAUAUUAUAUUAUAGUUUUUACUCAAUUGUUUUACGCUUUCAUGUAUUUGGUUUUGAUUAUGAUCUUUUUGCAAACUUUUUCUUUUGAGGUUUUGUUUGUGUCUUUGAUGUACCAUCUUUUUGCCAACUUUUUCUUGUGAUGUUUGCCUAUUUUAUUUUGAUGUGCCAUCUAUUUGCUAACUUUUUAAUAUGAUGUUUUGAUUGUCUUGUCUUACAGAUACUUUUUUAUAGUCAGUUUUGGGGGAUCAGACAUUAUCAUAUUUUACGUAACUGAUAAGCAAAGCUUGUGAAUCUGAUCCCCCUUCUUGUUUGUUAAAUUGUUCACAUUUAUACCGUCAUUUUAAUAAAUGACAUUUUUCAUCAACAUCAAA